rnacentral:rRNA from 1 species
UACGUAGGGUGCAAGCGUUAAUCGGAAUUACUGGGCGUAAAGCGCGCGCAGGUGGUUUCUUAAGUCUGAUGUGAAAGCCCACGGCUCAACCGUGGAGGGUCAUUGGAAACUGGGGGACUUGAGUACAGAAGAGGAAAGCGGAAUUCCACGUGUAGCGGUGAAAUGCGUAGAGAUGUGGAGGAACACCAGUGGCGAAGGCGGCUUUCUGGUCUGUAACUGACGCUGAGGCGCGAAAGCGUGGGGAGCAAACAGG